AAAACCCAAUAUUGCAAUUGUAAAGCAACAGGCCAGAUUUCCCUAUCAGUUUGUAUUAAGGGAGGCCAGGCCUCCCCUAGGAAAUUAGCUUCUCAUAGAAGUCAAUGUAAUGCAUGCUUUUUCAUGCCAAUAUGUGAUUGGCCAGAUCACUGAAAAUGGGUGGGCAACGGAGGCCUGGCCUCACCAUGCAUUGUGUCCAGGGCUGAAAGAUUGACAUUUUGUUCGUCCAAUCACAUGCUACUGGUUCAUUUGGAAUCAAUCCUUUCCUUUCCUAAUCAACACAGAAGCCAUUUUGAGAAUUCGCCAGCCACUUCAGUCAAACAAACACUCGCCAUAGUGGCUACGAGUGUCCUAUCAACUUGUGCUUUUCAGGAAAUUUAGAGAACACCCCUGGCUAUCAUCCGUGAAGUUUAUAGCUCAUAUAGCCAAAUACUUUUGCUUAAAACGACCUCGGAAAUCGGCGAGAUUCUGGCGCAAUUUGAGAUCUUGGGCUGGAGAUAGAUAUUUUUAAUUGUUGAAGGGAAACAAAAAGCAGAGACAAGACCGUUUUUGCAAUCAACGUUACAGUUUUUUUUUAAUCUGGGGAUGGAUGGCUGAGUUGGACACGUUCUGGAUCCACACGACCUUAGAUGAAGCCAGCUGCAACCCGUAGAGUGGAGUCGUGGAGAGAGCCCCUCGCCCCUCAGCUAAACCAGAGUAAAUGAAGCCAGCACCAACCUGUGGAGUGGAGUCCAGGAGAGAGCAUGCCGCCCCUCAGCUAAACCAGAUUAGAUGAAGCCAGCUGCAACCCGUAGAGUGGAGUUGUGGAGAGAGCCCCUCGCCCCUCAGCUAAACCAGAGUAAAUGAAGCCAGCACCAACCUGUGGAGUGGAGUCCAGGAGAGAGCAUGCCGCCCCUCAGCUAAACCAGAUCAGAUAAAGCCAACUGGAACCAUAUUUUUACAUAUUUUAUAUUAAAUAUAUUGAAUAAAACUACAUAUGAUAAAGAAAGUGUUAUCUUAUCUUUUUUAUAUGCUAAACUUGAUUAAAUUGGUGAUUACAUGUUGAAGCUGUAGAAGAAUGAAAAAUGUAAGCUAAACAAAAUUGUUUUUAACUACAUAAUUAA